rnacentral:ncRNA from 1 species
GAAUUCGAUUUGGUUUUCAAGAAGGAACUUCUAAUUUUUUUAUACAAUUUUUAUAAAAAAAGAUGUAGAAAAUUUAUUUUAUUUAAUAAUUAUAAAUUAUUGAGAAUUAGAAAAGUAUUCUAGCUAAAUUUGUGCCAGCAGCAGCGGUUAAACAAAUAGAGAAAUUCUUUUUUUAGUAAAAUUUAAUAAUAUUAUUAAAUUAUUUAUUAAAAAUAAAGGUGAAAUUUAUUUUUAAAAUUAAAUUAAUAUAAAAUUAAAAUUCUUGAAUUAAACUAGGAUUAGAUACCCUAUUAUUUAAGAGCUAUAUAUUGUUAGUAAAUAAUUAUUACGAAAGCAAAAAAUUAUGGCGGUAUUUUAAGCUUUUCAGAGGAAUUUGCUCUUUAAUGGAUAAAACACCUAAAUCUUACUUGAAUUUGUUAAGUCAAUUUGUAUACCACUAUAAAAUUAAUUAUUUGCUUUAAUUAAUAAAGUUUAUAAUUUUUAAAACAAAUUAAGUCAAGGUGCAGUAAAAAUUUAAGAAUGAAGUGAAUUACAUUUCUUCUAAGAGAUUAAUGCAAUUAAAAAUAGAAUUAGGAUUUGAAAGUAAAAUUAAAAUAUAAUGUUAAUUUGAAUAAAGCUCUAAAAUAUGUACAUAUCGCCCGUCACUCUUUAUUAAGAUAAGUCGUAACAAAGUUAAAAUACUGGAAAGUGUUUU